GAGGGUAUAGCUCAGUGGUAGAGUGCAUGCUUAGCAUGCAUGGGGUCUUGGGUUCAAUCCCCAGUACCUCCA
rnacentral:tRNA from 1 species